rnacentral:rRNA from 1 species
ACGGAAGGCAGCAGUGGGGAAUAUUGGGCAAUGGGCGCAAGCCUGACCCAGCAACGCCGCGUGAGUGAAGAAGUAUUUCGGUAUGUAAAGCUCUAUCAGCAGGAAAGAAAAUGAUGGUACCUGACUAAGAAGCCCCGGCUAACUACGUGCCAGCAGCCGCGGUAAUACGUAGGGGGCAAGCGUUAUCCGGAUUUACUGGGUGUAAAGGGAGCGUAGACGGCUUUGCAAGUCUGAAGUGAAAGCCCGGGGCUCAACCCCGGAACUGCUUUGGAAACUGUAGAGCUAGAGUGCAGGAGAGGUAAGUGGAAUUCCUAGUGUAGCGGUGAAAUGCGUAGAUAUUAGGAGGAACACCAGUGGCGAAGGCGGCUUACUGGACUGUAACUGACGUUGAGGCUCGAAGGCGUGGGGAGCAAACAGGAUUAGAUACCCUGGUA